GACGAACGCUGGCGGCGUGCUUAACACAUGCAAGUCGAACGAAGUGGCGAACGGGUGAGUAACGCGUAAUCAACCUGCCCUUCAGAGGGGGACAACAGUUGGAAACGACUGCUAAUACCGCAUACUGAAGGUGGGGAUUGCGUCUGAUUAGCUAGUUGGAGGGGUAACGGCCCACCAAGGCGAUGAUCAGUAGCCGGUCGUGGUGGGUGAACGGCGACAUUUGGGCUGAGACACGGCCCAGACUCCUACGGGAGGCAGCAGUGGGGAGUCGUCCGCAAUGGACGAAAGUCUAACGGAGCAACGCCGCGUGAGUGAUGACGGCCUUCGGGUUGUAAAACUCUGUUAAUCGGGACGCGGUACCGGAAGAGAAAGCCACGGCUAACUACGUGCCAGCAGCCGCGGUAAUAC
rnacentral:rRNA from 1 species